UGGGUAACGCGUGAGAAUCUGCCUAGAGGUUGGGGACAACCACUGGAAACGGUGGCUAAUACCCAAUGUGCCUAUUCGUGAAAGAUUUAUCGCCUCUAGAUGAGCUCGCGUUUGACUAGCUAGUUGGUAGGGUAAAAGCCUACCAAGGCAUCGAUCAGUAGGUGGUUUGAGAGGAUGACCAGCCACACUGGGAGUGAGACACGGCCCAGACUCCUUCGGGAGGCAGCAGU
rnacentral:rRNA from 1 species